CCCUUCGGGGUGCUCGAGUGGCGAACGGGUGAGUAACACGUGGGUGAUCUGCCCUGCACUUUGGGAUAAGCCUGGGAAACUGGGUCUAAUACCGGAUAGGACCACGCGCUUCAUGGUGUGUGGUGGAAAGCUUUUGCGGUGUGGGAUGGGCCCGCGGCCUAUCAGCUUGUUGGUGGGGUAAUGGCCUACCAAGGCGACGACGGGUAGCCGGCCUGAGAGGGUGACCGGCCACACUGGGACUGAGAUACGGCCCAGACUCCUACGGGAGGCAGCAGUGGGGAAUAUUGCACAAUGGGCGCAAGCCUGAUGCAGCGACGCCGCGUGAGGGAUGACGGCCUUCGGGUUGUAAACCUCUUUCGCCAGGGACGAAGCGCAAGUGACGGUACCUGGAGAAGAAGGACCGGCCAACUACGUGCCAGCAGCCGCGGUAAUACGUAGGGUCCGAGCGUUGUCCGGAAUUACUGGGCGUAAAGAGCUCGUAGGUGGUUUGUCGCGUUGUUCGUGAAAACUCACAGCUUAACUGUGGGCGUGCGGGCGAUACGGGCAGACUGGAGUACUGCAGGGGAGACUGGAAUUCCUGGUGUAGCGGUGGAAUGCGCAGAUAUCAGGAGGAACACCGGUGGCGAAGGCGGGUCUCUGGGCAGUAACUGACGCUGAGGAGCGAAAGCGUGGGGAGCGAACAGGAUUAGAUACCCUGGUAGUCCACGCCGUAAACGGUGGGUACUAGGUGUGGGUUUCCUUCCUUGGGAUCCGUGCCGUAGCUAACGCAUUAAGUACCCCGCCUGGGGAGUACG
rnacentral:rRNA from 1 species